AUUUCGUUAUGUUGACAUAAUCUCACUAUCUCCUUGAAUAUUUCCCAAGCUUCGAAAACUAUUUCAGCAUCCUUCUGGCAGAAGUUGUGGAUUUCCCUUCUAAAUUU
rfam:Nicotiana attenuata strain TT chromosome 5, whole genome shotgun sequence.